GGAAUUGGAGUGUGUGCCCGAUCAACAACGGUUUCAUUUGGGAUACCUUUGGGACCCGUCUUGAAACACGGACCAAGGAGUCUAUNUAGUAUGCAAGUAAAUGGGAAUUGAGAGAAACCUAUUUGCGUAAAAAACUUGACUGUAAUAUAAUGGGAUUACGUGUAUGAUUUACUGUAUAGUGUCUGCACCUCCAUCCCGGGGUAUUUACAUCACAUAUGUGGGCAACNACAUAUAGUAAAUAUACCAUGAGCAUACUGGACAUGACCCGAAAGAUGGUGAACUAUGCCUGAUCAGGUUGAAGUCAGGGGAAACCCUGAUGGAGGACCGAAGCAAUUCUGACGUGCAAAUCGAUUGUCAGA
rnacentral:rRNA from 1 species